AAAGUUAGAACCAUUCAUUUCCCCAGUAACACAUUAUUCAAAAGCCAAAAUCACGGUCAAACAAAUAGACCCCAAAAAAUGCAUUUGAAUGGGAAUUUCACUUGGGUCUUCUAGAAGGGACACCUUGCCUGUUUCACGACAAUCCCAUAAGGGACGUACUGUGCUUGUAUUUAUCCUCCAUUUUACAGGUGGGGAAACCGAGAUACAUACCAGUGUAUUACCCUUCUGAAAAACAAGGCAUUUUAAAUUUGAAAGCACAACUGGCCUCAUGGCUUUAGAUAAGGGAUUGUGGACCUAUAAUAACUAACUCGCUGGGUUGUGGUCUGGAUUAAAUGUGAUGAUGUAUGUCAAGGCCCUGGCACAUAUUCAGUUCUCUAUAAGGGGCAGUUAUUACUAUUAGAAGGAAUAAUUAAUUUUAGUUGGUAAAAUUUCUAAGGUGUCUUGGAGGAUGCAGGAUUAUAAAGAUCCUUGUGGCAAGACCACUCAAGACAAAGGAAAUUGCUUCAGCCAAGUUAAUUGUGUGAUGGUGGAGGGUGUAUUCUGGGAAUGUGAAAUAAGGAGAUGGUACUGGAUUUGAGGAUUACAGAAGAGAUGAGGCCAGAAAGCUUGGUUGGUGCUACAAAUUGUGGAUAGCUUGUUGACAUGUAACACCAGGAGGCCUAAAAGCUUGGAUCUAUGGUUGUGGGGGAGCGGAGUUGAAAUUUAAUGAAGGUCGGACAUGGGAAUACAGAAAAAAUAGAACGUUAGGAAGACUGGGAGGCUCAACCAGGAUUUGGCAACCAAUAUUGGGUAGGGGAGGGUGAGAGGGGGAUUCUGGAGCUGAAAUGUUUCUGAGACUUCAAGUAUGACUCACAUCUAGCACAGUUAUGACUUGAGAUCCAGUGCUUCCAUGAAGAAAAGGACUAGGCUUGUAUGGAAGGAUAAGUUCAAUUCAGGAUGUGCUGAGUCUGAGAUGGAUACAGAACAACUGAUCAGAAAUACAGGCCUGGGGCUGGGAGAUGAGUCAGCUGGAGGCAGAAGGGGAGUUGUCCCCUAAAAGAUCACAGUGAAACUACCCAAGUAGAUGAGAUCAUUGAGAAAGUACAUGUAGCAUGAGGCAAAUACUAUCAAUAUUAGUAAGCAUUACAGGGAUGUGCAUGUGCUUGGGGGACCUUGUAGUGGGAAGGGCAUCAUACAAAAUUAAAACAUCUGCACCUAAGUCCUUCCUGGGCUUUCAUAUGUAUACUCUCAUUAAUCAAUCUUUAACACAUAACAUUGUGAGGUAGAAAAAAGAGAGAAGAAGGGCAAGCGUUUGUGAAGGUUCAUAUUUUUGAGGUUAGGAAGAAGAGGAACUAGAAAAAGAAAGAAAGAUCAAGUUUUUAUAAAGUUGUAGUAAACCUCCAACAGCCAACUUAUCAUUGUCAGACAGAGAUCCUGCCUCCAAUAUUCUUGAACCUUAAAUGAAGAUCAGGACUCAUACCUAAGAUGUGUGUAACAAGCUAAGGGGACAUUUGAAAAGUGCCAAGUACAAGGCAUAGAUGACAAACACUAAUCAUGGAUUGGGCUGGAUUUGGUCCAGGAAGACUCAGAGGGAAAACAUGUGGGCUGAGUCUUGAAGGACAGCAGGGCUUGGAGGAGUGGAGAGAGCAGAACAAUGCAGACCAGGGGGACCCACAGCCCUAAAGGCCAAGAAUUUCCUUCCUUCCUUCCUUCCUUCCUUCCUUCCUUCCUUCCUUCCUUCCUUCCUUCCUUCCUUCCUUCCUUUCCUUCCUUCCUUUCCUUCUUUCUCAGAGCCUCACUCUGUCACCCAGGCUGGAGUGCAGUGGUGCAAUCUCGACUCACUGCAACCUCCGCCUCCCGGGUUCAAGCGAUUCUCAUACCUCAGCCUCCUGAGUAGCUGGGAUUACAGGCAUGCACCACCAUGCCUGGCUAAUUUUUGUUUUUUUAGUAGAGACGGGGUUUCACCAUGUUGGCUGGGCUGGUCUCGAACUCCUGACCUCAUGUGAUCCGCCCACCUUGGCCUCCUAGGCUUGAGCCACUGUGUCCUGCCGAAGCCAAGAAUUUUCUCUGACCUCAUAUUUACAACCAAUGUGUACCAGAAAGUCUCAUACAAACUCACAAUGCUUACAUACUUAUGUGGUCAUCAGAUAUGGCACAACAGUGGCUUUGAUUUUCCUUUUAUACAGGAGCACAUUUCAGCUUUUCUUCCAGUUUCCUAUUUAUUUUAGUUCCAAUGUUUAGUUAAUACCUUUGAUUUUUAAACAUUAACUCUUCUAAUGUCAGAUUCUAUGGCAUUCUGAAUUAUUGACAUUAUGCCUGAAGAUUUUAAAAGAACAACUAAUUCUCAAUUACUUCCAGUUUACUGGUCUGAAUGUUGCUCCCCUCCACCUGCAACUUAGGAGGGACCUUGGAGCAAGGUCGUGUCCCAGAUUGUUGAGGACGUUUGCUGCUCCUUGGCUUCCCAGCUCCUGUUCCUCUUUCUAAGAGCACUGUGAGUUGCUUGUUGGGAACUAAUGGCUCCUCACUGUGGCAGUCCCAGUGGGACUGCUAGUUAAGGAAACUUGCUUCUUGCCAAGAGAGUUGGCCAAUCAAAUUUUAUUCUAGACUAGUGUAUCUUGAGCAGGGUAAGUCAAGGACUGUGUAAAAAAAAAAAAAAAAAAAAAAAAAAAAAGGACCAGGAUUUCAACAAUGAUGCUCUGAAGAGAUCAUCAACCACUUUCUACCCCAGGGCUGCUCUUUCUGAGUCUCACUCUUCAGGUUGUUUUUUCAUUCUGGGAGCUGUCCCACAUCUUUCUCUUCUCUCUUAACUUAGCCAGGGUCAGUUUCCAUUGUUUAUAAAAACCAAAACAAAGCAAAACUCAUUCACUGACCUGACCGGAAAACGUGAUAUUUUCAAUUGUCUGCCAAAGUUCCCCCCACUGAUGUGGAAAAUCAAGAGUGAUAAGGAUGGUUAAAAGAGAAUAAUUGAGAUAUUGCGACAAAUGAUACUUUGUUGGUUUCUCUUUCAGUUACUUGAAUCACUGUCGACACACUUGCUUGAAGAAGACACUGGAGAGCCAUUCUGUCACCCAGGCAGGAGUGCAUUCAUGAUAGAGUCUCUCUGGAAUUCUCACUUUGGGGAAGCCAGCUUCUGUGUCAAGCAGUCCCAUGGAGAGACCCACAUGGUAAGGAACUAAGGUCUGCAACAACCAUGUGAGCGAGACUGAAAGCAGCUCCUCCAACCCUAGUCCGAACUUAGAUGACUACAACACCUGCCAACAGGCUGACUGCAACCUCUUGAAAGACUGAGCCAGAACUAGAGUAACAUGAAGAGCCUCAAUGAAUUGGCUGAGCCUGUGGAAGAGGAAAGCAAGCAAGUUCUCAAGCCAAGGCUCCCCUCCAAACCUACUGAAUCAAAUAACGCUGGGAGCAAGACUUUGGCAUGCAUGUUAAAACUUCCACAUUUGAUUUUGCUGCAUAGCCAGGAUUGAAAACCACAGAUAUGUAAAAUGCUAAGUGUUAUUCCAGGCCCUUUACAAUGUCUGCCUGGUUUAAUUACAUGUGUUUAAAUAUGAGGUCAAAUGUAAAUAAUUUUUGGAAGAUCUGCCACUUUGGAUUUUUCAUUCCACUGUUUUUUCUCUGAGUAUGGAUAAUUGAGAACUACUCACUCAGAGAAGUGAAGAGCAUGUGAAAUAACAUAAUCUGUAUGGAAGUCAUUCAUUCACAAUUAAUCAAUAGAUACAUACACUCAGGUAAUCAAUAUAUUGAAAUUUAUUGCUUAACCAAACUGUUUAAACCAUCUUAGAAUAUCUGUAGGCCACAGAACAGAGCUUGAAAUCAGAUUCUAUUAAGACAGAAUUAAAAGUGUCAAUGAAAAAAAAAGCAAUGCAUCAAAGAUUCACCAUUGCUUACCAUAGCAAUUCUAUUUCAUUUUACAGUGAAAGUAAAAUUAAGGCACUGAAAAUGAGAUCGAAACAUUAAGGAAAGACUAUGAGUUUUUCUUUUUAUGGAGAGUUUAGAAAAGAUUAUAAAUUCACCACAAGGAAAAUGAGAACAUUAACACAGGCCAGUGACGAGAUUUCAAGAAACUUAUUUUUAAAAAUAAAAAGAGAUGAUGUCUUUCUCAUCAAAAUUACUGAAUUAUAUGGCUAGGGCUUAAAAUUCAUUAUUUUUAAAAAGGAGCAUGGAAGUCAGGGCAUAAAUGUAAAUUCAGUAGUUUUUAAUAUUAUCAUUCAUGGUGUGCUAUAGUAGAAUAAUAUCUUUAAGCUCAUUAAAGCUAUUAUAGUUAAUUAUAAUUUUAAUAAUUAUUCAUAAUAUACUUAAAAAUAUGUUACUUGAUGAUUUCUUCUUUAAAAAGUUUACUAAAAUGACUUUAUAGUACUCGUGUGUGUCAGUCAGGGUUUAAUCAGAGAAGCCAACCAAUAGGAUAUAUAUAUUGAGAUUUAUUACAAUGAAUUGGCUUACAUGAUUACAGUGGCUGGCUAGACAAGUGUGAAAUUUAUAGGGCAGGCUGUCAGAAAGGUGCAGGCAGUCCAUAAGCAGAAUUUCUUCUUCUUCUGGGAAAUCUUGGCUCUGCUGCUAACACUUUUCAACUGACUGACUCACAACCAGACUAUCUAAGAUAUUCUCCCUUGCUUAAAGUCAACUGUAGAUGUUACACAUCUACAAAAUACCUUCACAGCAAAUCCUAGAUUCAUGUUUGAUUGAAUAACUUGGGACAAAUGACACCUAAAACUGGCCAUUGCAACUUGGUAUUUGAUUUAAUGCAUUGUAAUGUUAAGAUAAUAUGUGGCAUGUUAUAGCAUUGACUUAAAUAUAAGUAAGUCAAAUCAUGUCCUACUAAUUCACUGUACUGGAAAGAGGUCUUAACUACAUACCCAGAAACCUCCUGGGUUCUAGAACUGUCUUUAUGACCUUUGAAGACUUACUCAUUUUCUCUGAAUCUUGUUUCCUCAUGUAUAAAAUAAGAUAGUUGGAUUAAAGUCCCUUUCAGAUCUAACAUUUAUAAGUAAUUAUGUCAACCACAUAAAAAAUACAUAUAUAGCAUGGUUACUACUUAAGUCAACAUCAAUUCUAUAUCACUAUUUGACAGAAGAUACAAAAUCAGUGAAAUAUAUCUUCCAUUUAUAGAAACACAUAUUAUAUAUUUAUGUGAUGAAUAUAGGUUUUUUUACCCUAAAAUUUGUGGCAGUGUUCUAACUAUAUAGAAAUCGCUUGCUAUAUCAGUGAUUAUACAACAUAGAAGUCUUUUGGUUGCAAGAAACAGAAAUUUCAGCUCAAAAUGGGUUAAGCAAAAAAUGGAAUUGUUGACUUGAAUGAAUAGUUCAGGCUAGUCUACUUCCAAUAUGAUCCAGAACUCAAGAUUCACAAGGAUCCACACCUUAUCUUUAUUUCCUUAUUAUUAAUGCCAUUCUCAGCCUCCACAUGGGAGCCUCCCACUGGCUCCAGACUCACCACCAUGGAUGCAGAAGUCCCAAACUUCACUGUGCAACUUUUAACCUCUAAUUCUAAUCAUAACAGUAGAUCAUGGAAUAUCUUUUAACAGUCAUUAUUUUGUGUCACAAAUUUCUAAGCGUAAGGAAUAGAUGCAUUCUAGAUAGAAAAAAAAAAUUUUGUGGUCUCAAUGCCUAUUGCUGGAUCCUUAACCUCUUUCUGUUUAUUUUGGGUAAAGGAACUCAUAUUCUCAAUGGACCUUUCUAUCUAGGAUUUACAUCUUGAUUGUGGAUCUACUUUCUGAAUUCAUCUGACUGCAAGCUAUCCCUGCCACAAGAACGUCCUAGUGUACUUUCAUAUUUAACUAUUUGUCUUUGCCUAAAGUCGUGUGUUUUUUUCUAACCUUCCUAGUUUGGAUCAUUCCUCCUCGUCUAACUCAUGAAGAAAGCCUGGUUAGGAUAAGAUGUUCAUUAAUAAAACCUCAAGGUGAAAUUGGGAAUACAGUAGCCCCUGUUAUUUGCAGUUUCAUUUUCUGAGGUUUCAAUUACCUGGGGUCUACAACAGUUCAAAAAUAUUAAUGGAAAAUUGUAGAAAUAAACAAUAAAUUUUUGAAUUGUGCACCACUCUGAGUAGCAUGGUGAAAUUUUGCACUGCCCUGCUCUGUCC
rnacentral:lncRNA from 10 species